CUCAUUUCCAGCAGUGAAAGUUCUGGAGACAUUUGAACGAAGGGAGCUGCAUCCCCCAUCUGUGUGUGCCUGUGAUGCUGAAAGCUGUGCCACAGUGUUUCCAGUACCAGCAGGGUCAUCUGUGGUGGACAGGUUUCAGCAGGGCUUCCAGACUGAAACAGACCAGGAAGGACCUGGCCACCCACUUCCAAAAACAGUGGCCAUGAAAACCCUGUGAAUAGCAGCAGAGCACUGUCUGAUGGAGCACCAGAAGAAAAGAUUCCCUGCCUGAUGCCACUGCAGCCGAGUUCUCCUGCCCAGAGCGUCAGGCGUCUGCGUGGACACAGUUGCUCUGUUUAGGUGGCG
rnacentral:lncRNA from 1 species